rnacentral:rRNA from 1 species
GUUCGGAUUGCAGUCUGCAACUCGACUGCAUGAAGCUGGAAUCGCUAGUAAUCGCGAAUCAGAAUGUCGCGGUGAAUACGUUCCCGGGUCUCGUACACACCGCCCGUCACACCAUGGGAGUUGGUAACGCCCGAAGUCAGUGACCCAACCGGAAGGAGGGAGCUGCCGAAGGCGGGACCGGUAACUGGGGUGAAGUCGUAACAAGGUACC